rnacentral:rRNA from 1 species
UACGAAGGGGGCUAGCGUUGCUCGGAAUUACUGGGCGUAAAGCGCACGUAGGCGGAUUGUUAAGUCGGGGGUGAAAUCCUGGAGCUCAACUCCAGAACUGCCUUCGAUACUGGCGAUCUCGAGUCCGGGAGAGGUGAGUGGAACUGCGAGUGUAGAGGUGAAAUUCGUAGAUAUUCGCAAGAACACCAGUGGCGAAGGCGGCUCACUGGCCCGGUACUGACGCUGAGGUGCGAAAGCGUGGGGAACAAACAGG